rnacentral:rRNA from 1 species
CGGGGUAGGAGUAACGCGUGAGGAACCUGCCUCAAAGAGGGGGACAACAGUUGGAAACGACUGCUAAUACCGCAUAAGCCCACGGCUCGGCAUCGAGCAGAGGGAAAAGGAGCAAUCCGCUUUGAGAUGGCCUCGCGUCCGAUUAGCUAGUUGGUGAGGUAAUGGCCCACCAAGGCGACGAUCGGUAGCCGGACUGAGAGGUUGAACGGCCACAUUGGGACUGAGACACGGCCCAG